UGAAAACUUAAAACUUAAAAGACUUGACGGUACUUCACACCAACCUAGAGGAGCCUGUCUAAUAACCGAUAACCCACGAUCAACCCUACCUUUUCUAGCCAUACAGUCUAUAUACCGCCGUCGCCAGCUUACCUUGUGAAAGUAAUAAAGUAAGCCCAAUAGUACCACACUAACACGACAGGUCGAGGUGUAACUAAUGAAAAGGACCAAGAUGGGCUACAUUUUCUAAACCAGAAAAAACGAACGGACUAUGAAACUAGAAACUGAAGGCGGAUUUAGCAGUAAGCUAAGAACAUGAUACUUAACCGAAAACAACGCAAUGAAGUGUGU
rnacentral:rRNA from 1 species